rnacentral:rRNA from 1 species
UUUAAACUUAAAUGAAUUGACGGGGGCCCGCACAAGCGGUGGAGCAUGUGGUUUAAUUCGAUGCAACGCGAAGAACCUUACCUGGUCUUGACAUCCACAGAACUUUCCAGAGAUGGAUUGGUGCCUUCGGGAACUGUGAGACAGGUGCUGCAUGGCUGUCGUCAGCUCGUGUUGUGAAAUGUUGGGUUAAGUCCCGCAACGAGCGCAACCCUUAUCCUUUGUUGCCAGCGGUUAGGCCGGGAACUCAAAGGAGACUGCCAGUGAUAAACUGGAGGAAGGUGGGGAUGACGUCAAGUCAUCAUGGCCCUUACGACCAGGGCUACACACGUGCUACAAUGGCAUAUACAAAGAGAAGCGACCUCGCGAGAGCAAGCGGACCUCAUAAAGUAUGUCGUAGUCCGGAUUGGAGUCUGCAACUCGACUCCAUGAAGUCGGAAUCGCUAGUAAUCGUAGAUCAGAAUGCAGCGAGCGAGAAGCUGG